UCGCACUGUGGUGGAUUCCCUGCAUGUGUAAGCACACACUGUUUUAAAAGUGAAGCCGCGAAUGGCUCAUUACAACAGCCACAGUUUAUUAGAACUUACAAUCAUGGAUAACUGUGGUAAUUCUAGAGCUAAUACACGCACAAAAACUUCAACUGAAUUGGUUGAAGUGCUUUUAUUAGAACAAAAACCGAACGGCGUUUGACGAAUGUUGAACGUCGAAACUGUUUGGUGAAUCUGAAUAACUAUUUCUGAUCGCAUGGUCUAGCACCGGCGACAUCACUUUCAAGUGUCUGCCUUAUCAACCUUCGAUGGUAGUCUAUGCGACUACCAUGGUGAUAACGGGUAACGGAGAAUCAGGGUUCGACUCCGGAGAGGGAGCCUGAGAAACGGCUACCACAUCCAAGGAAGGCAGCAGGCGCGCAAAUUACCCACUCCCAGCUUGGGGAGGUAGUGACGAAAAAUAACGAGACGAUUCUCGUUUGAGAAACGUUAUCGAAAUGAGUACGCUUUACACACGCUAACGAGUAGCAAUUGGAGGGCAAGUCUGGUGCCAGCAGCCGCGGUAAUUCCAGCUCCAAUAGCGUAUAUUAAAGUUGCUGCGGUUAAAA
rnacentral:ncRNA from 1 species